rnacentral:rRNA from 1 species
UACGGAGGAUCCUAGCGUUAUCCGGAUUUAUUGGGUUUAAAGGGUGCGCAGGCGGAAUAGUAAGUCAGUGGUGAAAUCCUGCAGCUUAACUGCAGAACUGCCAUUGAUACUGUUAUUCUUGAGUAUAUUUGAAGUGGGCGGAAUGUGUCAUGUAGCGGUGAAAUGCUUAGAUAUGACACAGAACACCAAUUGCGAAGGCAGCUCACUAAACUAUAACUGACGCUCAUGCACGAAAGCGUGGGGAUCAAACAGG